rnacentral:rRNA from 1 species
AGUGAACGCUGGCGGCAGGCCUAAUACAUGCAAGUCGAACGGCAGCACAGUGGAGCUUGCUCCAUGGGUGGCGAGUGGCGGACGGGUGAGGAAUACAUGGGAAUCUGCCCAGUCGUGGGGGAUAACGUAUGGAAACGUACGCUAAUACCGCAUGCGCCCUUCGGGGGAAAGUCGGGGACCGCAAGGCCUGACGCGAUUGGAUGAGCCCAUGUUCGAUUAGCUAGUUGGCGGGGUAACGGCCCACCAAGACGACGAUCGAUAGCUGGUCUGAGAGGAUGAUCAGCCACACUGGAACUGAGACACGGUCCAGACUCCUACGGGAGGCAGCAGUAGGGAAUAUUGGACAAUGGGCGCAAGCCUGAUCCAGCCAUGCCGCGUGAGUG